UACACUCCUGCGGGAGGCAGCAGUGGGGAAUAUUGGACAAUGGGCGCAAGCCUGAUCCAGCCAUGCCGCGUGAGUGAUGAAGGCCCUAGGGUUGUAAAGCUCUUUCACCGGUGAAGAUAAUGACGGUAACCGGAGAAGAAGCCCCGGCUAACUUCGUGCCAGCAGCCGCGGUAAUACGAAGGGGGCUAGCGUUGUUCGGAUUUACUGGGCGUAAAGCGCACGUAGGCGGACUAUUAAGUCAGGGGUGAAAUCCCGGGGCUCAACCCCGGAACUGCCUUUGAUACUGGUAGUCUUGAGUUCGAGAGAGGUGAGUGGAAUUCCGAGUGUAGAGGUGAAAUUCGUAGAUAUUCGGAGGAACACCAGUGGCGAAGGCGGCUCACUGGCUCGAUACUGACGCUGAGGUGCGAAAGCGUGGGGAGCAAACAGGAUUAUAAACCCUUGUAGUCCC
rnacentral:rRNA from 1 species